rnacentral:rRNA from 1 species
GACGAACGCUGGCGGCGUGCUUAACACAUGCAAGUCGAACGGAAAGGCCUGCUUUCCCUUGUGGAUUGCGGGUACUCGAGUGGCGAACGGGUGAGUAACACGUGAGUGAUCUGCCCCCAACUUGGGUAUAAGCCUGGGAAACUGGGUCUAAUUCCCGAUAGGACUGCAGGGUGGUGCCUGUGGUGGAAAACGAUUUUCUAGUGGUUGGGGAUGAGCUCGCGGCCUAUCAGCUUGUUGGUGGGGUAAUGGCCUACCAAGGCGGCGACGGGUAGCCGGCCUGGGAGGGUGGGCGGGCACAGUGGGACUGAGAUACGGCCCAGACUCCGACGGGAGGCAGCAGUGGGGAAUAAUGCACGAUGGGCGGAAGCCUGAUGCAGCGACGCCGCGUGAGGGAUGACGGCCUUCGGGUUGUAAACUCCUUUCGACCGCGAGGAAGCCACCUGGUUGGAAGGGUGGUGACGGUAGUGGUAGAAGAAGCACCGGCUAACUACGUG